GAUGAACGCUGGCGGCGUGCCUAAUACAUGCAAGUCGAGCGAACAGACGAGGAGCUUGCUCCUCUGACGUUAGCGGCGGACGGGUGAGUAACACGUGGAUAACCUACCUAUAAGACUGGGAUAACUUCGGGAAACCGGAGCUAAUACCGGAUAAUAUCUUGAACCGCAUGGUUCAAUAGUGAAAGACGGUUUUGCUGGCACUUCUAGAUGGAUCCGCGCCGCAUUAGCUAGUUGGUAAGGUAACGGCUUACCAAGGCAACGAUGCGUAGCCGACCUGAGAGGGUGAUCGGCCACACGGGAAGUGAGACACGGUCCAGACUCCUACGGGAGGCAGCAGUAGGGAAUCGUCCGCAAUGGGCGAAAGCCUGACGGAGCAACGCCGCGUGAGUGAUGAAGGUCUUCGGAUCGUAAAACUCUGUUAUUAGGGAAGAACAAAUGUGUAAGUAACUAUGCACGUCUUGACGGUACCUAAUCAGAAAGCCACGGCUAACUACGUG
rnacentral:rRNA from 1 species